rnacentral:snRNA from 1 species
GUGCUUGCUUUGGCAGCACAUGUACUAAAAUUGGAAUGAUCAGAGAUUAUUAGGGCCCCUGCAGAAGGAAGACACUCAACCAGUCUUCAGUCAAAUCAGU